UGGGGAAUAUUGCACAAUGGGGGAAACCCUGAUGCAGCGACGCCGCGUGAACGAAGAAGGUAUUCGUAUCGUAAAGUUCUGUCCUAUGGGAAGAUAAUGACAGUACCAUAGAAGAAAGCUCCGCCUAAAUACGUGCCAGCAGCCGCGGUAAUACGUAUGGAGCGAGCGUUGUCCGGCAUUAUUGGGCGUAAAGGGUACGCAGGCGGUUUAUUAAGUCGAAUGUUAAAGAUCGGGGCUCAACCCCGCAAAGCAUUGGAAACUGAUAAACUUGAGUAGUGGAGAGGAAGGUGGAAGUCCUAGUGUAGUGGUAAAAUACGUAGAUAUUAGGAGGAAUACCAGUAGCGAAGGCGACUUUCUGGACACAAACUGACGCUGAGGUACGAAAGCGUGGGGAGCAAACAGG
rnacentral:rRNA from 1 species